GGCCACAGCCCUGCCUGGCAGCUCCAAGGGAAUAGGUAAACAGAGAGAAGACAAACAUCAACAAGAAAGAGUGUAACUUACAAAGCACAUGUUUCCAGGGAGAAGAAUCCAGAGAAAACAUUAAAUGGUUGUCUGGAGCCCCCACCCAAGAUGAUAAAGAAGUGUCCUUGUUAACCCUGGGGAAGCUGACACUCCACCCCCUUGAUCUUCUUGUUCCAGCCCUGUGACCCCAGGAACCGUCUGCUGCAACUAGCACCCAGGAGCUCGUCUCUCUAUUUCUCACCCCAGCGUCUCUCCUCUGGCCCCUUCAUCUCACCUUCUUCCUUCCCACCCAGCACCCAGACCCUGCACUCAGGCAGGUGGGAGUUGGAGUCCUUGCUGGGUGACCGUGGGUCACAUGAGUUAAGAGAGGAUAACUUUAGAGAUGCUGGGAACUUCCUCGCCUGAUCUACCAAAGUCACAGGCAGGAACGAAUCUUUCUCAGAACCCUCCAGAAGACUCCUCUCCACUCCUAUUGGCCAGAAUUGCAUUACAUGUUCAGGCUGAAUCUAUUACUAGCAAGAGGAAGAGUUGCUCACAUUGGCUUAACGUCAUCAAGACCCACGCUCUGGAAGCUGGGGUUGGUCCCAUCUCUCCUGGAUGCACAGGGGCCUCUCUGAGGAGGAGAUAGUGACUGGAAUUGAGGUUUGGUUAGGAAGGAAUGUGGGCUCCUUGCCCCUGGGGGAGGCAACCUAACAGUGCCUGCUGUAGGAACCUACCCACAUACUUGAGAAAGUCUGGCAAGCUUGGAGACCCUGGUAGGACAGAAGAUGAUGGACAAACCAAUAAGCUCAGGGCAGGAUGUCUUUUCAAGGAUGCUGACUUCUGGUCCUCAUUGUCCACACAGGUGAGGGGAGCUCUGUUCUAGGAAACCGGAUGGAGAACGGACAAAGGCUAACCUAGUGAAUGUCCUUUCAGUAUACACUUGCAAAUGUAAAAUAAUUUUAUAUUUUUAUCUGUAUAAAUAUCAAAGUAUAGAUCUAGAAUGGAGUUAAAAGAUGGAGGAGAUUGAAUUCUCAAUGUCAAGCACUCAGGUACUCUCUAGCUGUGCUUUACACUUUCCCGGGUUUCUCGGGAGUGGUCUUCUAGAUACUGACUCAUUAGACAACUAUGUGUCAGAACACUUUUACCAGUUCUUAAUCAGGAACAUGUGGUCCCUGUACCCAUAAGGAGGCCAAGAGCUUUCAAGUGAAGUUUUCACAUCAUCAUAAACUGUCUACAGGUGAAAGGAUGUAUUUACCUUUCUGGGUCACACCCGGUCCUGGCUGGAAGACUGUUAUUUCAUGAAGUCUAGACAUAUUAUUCUCCCCAAGCACACACCUGCACACCGUGUGACUCAACCACCACAGAGCCAGCACACAGCCACCUGGCCUCUCACACCACCCCGCUCUUUGAGUGACUCACAACCUCUUUUUACCCAUUCUUGUCCCUUCUAUCACCUGAGACAGGACUUCUGGACCUUAUGUUGAAGUUUUAGGAGUGAGUUUUUAUAAUAUUUAGGUACAAGCUAGUAAUUUGCCAGGAAUACAGCUUACUGAGACAAAUGAGUGAUCUCUCCAGUCAAAUUGCCAGUCCUUUCCUUAGUAAAGGCAGCAUUUCCUCAUCCCAGGGGCUACUGGAUGGGCUCAAGGGGACAGAUAGCAAAUUCUACCUCAAAAGGGUGAAAAAUGAAACAUCUUAGCUGCAUCCAAAGUCACCAGUGGGGGACAUGAUUGUUAAUUGGAGGCCCUACUGAUGUCAUUUGUUAAACAGAUAAACGUGUCCACCAAUAGUAAGUGACCCGUCCACUGGUAGGUAAGACAAGGUCUGUUGGGUCAAAAUCCUACUUGUGGCAGGCUACUCUUCCUUCAAGGCCCUGACGGUCCUAUCCUUCUACAAAAAUUUCUUCCUGGGGCCCGACCGGGGGCAUAAUGGUCAAGUUUGCAUCCACUGCUUUGGCAGCCCAGGGUUCGCAGGUUCAGAUUCUGGGCGCAGACCUAUACACUGCUCAUCAAGCUAUGCUGUGGCAGCAUCCCACAUACAAAAUAGGGGAGGAUUGGCACAGAUGUUAGCUCAGCGAUAAUCUUCCUCAAGCAAAAAGAGGAAGAUUGGGAACAGAUGUUAUCUCAGGGCCAAUCUUCCUCACCAAAAAAACCCCAGAAAAAUAUCCCACAAAAUUUCUUCCUACUCUCUCAGGGAGGCAGCACCAUAUAGAAGUCAAGGGCUCUAAGCUAGAGUUUCUGUGUUCAGAUCCUGGUUCUGCCACUUACCUGCUGUGGGAUCUUAGGCAAGUUAUUUCAUGUCUCCAUGCACAUGUCCUCAUCUCCAAAAUGAUAUAAUAAGAGUGUCUAGUUCAUAUGCAUGUUAUGACUGUUCCGUGUAAAGUAAUUGGUA
rnacentral:lncRNA from 1 species